rnacentral:rRNA from 1 species
GACGAACGCUGGCGGCGUGCUUAACACAUGCAAGUCGAACGCUGAAGACCUGGCUUUUGUUGGGUUGGAUGAGUGGCGAACGGGUGAGUAACACGUGAGUAACCUGCCCUCUUCUUUGGGAUAACGCCCGGAAACGGGUGCUAAUACUGGAUAUUCACUGAUCUUCGCAUGGGGGUUGGGGGAAAGGUUUGUUCUGGUGGGGGAUGGGCUCGCGGCCUAUCAGCUUGUUGGUGGGGUGAUGGCCUACCAAGGCUUUGACGGGUAGCCGGCCUGAGAGGGUGACCGGUCACAUUGGGACUGAGAUACGGCCCUGACUCCUACGGGAGGCAGCAGUGGGGAAUAUUGCACAAUGGGCGAAUGCCUGAUGCAGCGACGCCGCGUGAGGGAUGGAGGCCUUCGGGUUGUAAACCUCUUUCGCGCAUGGUCAAGCCGCAACUGUGGGUUGUGGUGAGGGUAGUGGGUAAAGAAGCGCCGGCUAACUACGUG